ensembl:lncRNA
CUCCGUUUACGCUCCCCACUGACAUCUCCAGAGAAAACACCACUAGCUUCAGCCGUGAAUGUACAUUUCGUGGUGGGGAUUUAAAUCGUAUGAAGAACAACAUUAUUUGAAGAUCAAGAAAGGCAUUCGACCGCGCCUAUCUCGGAUCAACCAACAUCGUCUAAAAAGGGAUACAAAUAAAGCCGUUUUUGGAGUGUUGACUGACAGUGACGCGCAACACCGGCAGAGGGGAGAGCUGACAGGAAAUACCCAUCGCUGCUGAUGGUGUACGAACGACAGUAGAGGACUACUCGUACACCCUCCGCUUUCCGUUUUACCUACGCCCCAAACCAAGCGGUUCAUGCGAAAGAAGAUACUCUCUAGAACAGGCCGAUUAGGAAGAUAGCAAGGAGUGGCGGCCAGGCGAGAGGGAGGCUACGGCAAACCAUCUCUCCCAGAUAUACCUCCAUUACGCCCACCUACCACCGCCUCCUUCAGCCAUGGAUCCGCCGAGGACUCGGUCACGUUCAGGUUUCUUUCAUUAUGGCAUGAACGGUGGUGGCAACGGCAAUAACACAAUCAACAAUGGGAACAUGAUGAAUGCCAGCGGAGGGAUCGGGGUGAAUUACCCUCAACAGAACAACCCCGGCUGGGUUCCGCACGGAGCGCGCGGUAGCUAUUCGGAGAACCAGCACACCCAGGGGAACUACCUGUCCGGUGGGGCCCAACGCCACCCUUCCCACGGAGCACACAGACACCCCGGCACCGGUGUCCUGCACUUCCACCCUGAUAACAUCUGCAGUGAUGAGCGGGACAAGGUGAGGAUAUUAACCUCUCCCUGUUGUACCAACACAGCAGUAGGAAUGCUGUAGCCUUAUUUAACACCAUGCUGUCUUUCUACUCCCUUAUCUCUCUCGC